UCCCUGGUGGUCCAGUGGUUAGGACUCUGCUGUUGUUCUGCUGGGGUCCUGGGUUCAAUCCCUGGUCAGGGAA
rnacentral:tRNA from 1 species